CGGAGGGAUCAUUACUGAGUUUACGCUCUAUAACCCUUUGUGAACAUACCUAUAACUGUUGCUUCGGCGGGUAGGGUCUCCGCGACCCUCCCGGCCUCCCGCCUCCGGGCGGGUCGGCGCCCGCCGGAGGAUAACCAAACUCUGAUUUAACGACGUUUCUUCUGAGUGGUACAAGCAAAUAAUCAAAACUUUUAACAACGGAUCUCUUGGUUCUGGCAUCGAUGAAGAACGCAGCGAAAUGCGAUAAGUAAUGUGAAUUGCAGAAUUCAGUGAAUCAUCGAAUCUUUGAACGCACAUUGCGCCCGCCAGCAUUCUGGCGGGCAUGCCUGUUCGAGCGUCAUUUCAACCCUCAAGCUCUGCUUGGUGUUGGGGCCCUACAGCUGAUGUAGGCCCUCAAAGGUAGUGGCGGACCCUCCCGGAGCCUCCUUUGCGUAGUAACUUUACGUCUCGCACUGGGAUCCGGAGGGACUCUUGCCGUAAAACCCCCCAAUUUUCCAAAGGUUGACCUCGGAUCANGUANNGAAUACCCGCUGAACUUAAUCAUAUCAAU
rnacentral:rRNA from 1 species